rnacentral:rRNA from 1 species
AACGCGUAUGCAAUCUACCUUUUGCUAAGGGAUAGCCCAGAGAAAUUUGGAUUAAUACCUUUAUAGUAUGAUUACUUGGCAUCAAGAUAUCAUUAAAGGUUACGGCAAAAGAUGAGCAUGCGUUCUAUUAGCUAGUUGGUGUGGUAACGGCAUACCAAGGCAACGAUAGAUAGGGGUCCUGAGAGGGAGAUCCCCCACACUGGUACUGAGACACGGACCAGACUCCUACGGGAGGCAGCAGUGAGGAAUAUUGGACAAUGGAGGUAACUCUGAUCCAGCCAUGCCGCGUGCAGGAAGACUGCCCUAUGGGUUGUAAACUGCUUUUAUACAGGAAGAAACACCUCUACGUGUAGAGAUUUGACGGUACUGUAAGAAUAAGGAUCGGCUAACUCCGUGCCAGCAGCCGCGGUAAUACGGAGGAUCCAAGCGUUAUCCGGAAUCAUUGGGUUUAAAGGGUCCGUAGGUGGAUAAUUAAGUCAGAGGUGAAAUCCUGCAGCUUAACUGUAGAAUUGCCUUUGAUACUGGUUGUCUUGAGUUAUUAUGAAGUGGUUAGAAUAUGUAGUGUAGCGGUGAAAUGCAUAGAUAUUACAUAGAAUACCAAUUGCGAAGGCAGAUCACUAAUAAUAUACUGACACUGAUGGACGAAAGCGUGGGGAGCGAACAGGAUUAGAUACCCUGGUAGUCCACGCCGUAAACGAUGGUCACUAGCUGUUCGGAUUUCGAUCUGAGUGGCUAAGCGAAAGUGAUAAGUGACCCACCUGGGGGAGUACGUUCGCAAGAAUGAAACUCAAAGGAAUUGACGGGGGCCCGCACAAGCGGUGGAGCAUGUGGUUUAAUUCGAUGAUACGCGAGGAACCUUACCAGGGCUUAAAUGUGGUUUGACAGCUUUAGAGAUAGAGUUUUCUUCGGACAGAUCACAAGGUGCUGCAUGGUUGUCGUCAGCUCGUGCCGUGAGGUGUCAGGUUAAGUCCUAUAACGAGCGCAACCCCUGUUGUUAGUUGCCAGCGAGUAAUGUCGGGAACUCUAGCAAGACUGCCGGU